GGCCCCGUAGUUCAAUGGAUAGAACGGAAGUUUCCUAAACUUUAGAUGCAGGUUCGAUUCCUGCCGGGGUCA
rnacentral:tRNA from 1 species